UCCCGCGUAGCUCAGUUGGUAGAGCGGACGGCUGUUAACCGUCAUGUCACUGGUUCGAGUCCAGUCGCGGGAGCCA
rnacentral:tRNA from 1 species